CUACCGGGGUAUCUAAUCCUGUUCGCUACCUACGCUUUCGUCCAUCAGCGUCAGACGGUUAUUAGUGACCUGCCUUCGCAAUCGGUAUUCUGAGUAAUAUCUAUGCAUUUCACCGCUACACUACUCAUUCUGACCACUUCAUAACCUCUCAAGGUGCACAGUAUCAAUGGCAGUUCCGCCGUUGAGCGGCGGACUUUCACCACUGACUUAUGCACCCGCCUACGGACCCUUUAAACCCAAUGAUUCCGGAUAACGCUCGGAUCCUCCGUAUUACCGCGGCUGCUGGCC
rnacentral:rRNA from 1 species